AGUCGAGUUCCUAACCCUGUCGGGAGGUAGGAACUGGUCCCGGAGCUGGCGGGAGGAGGGCCUGUGGUAGCGCGGCAGCUUGCACCGCCUCGUGGUCACCAGUGGCGUGUGCAUGUGCGGCAGCGGCUAGGACCCCAGGGCGGGGCAACCGAGGCACCCGCCGCAGACCAAGCCGACGCGCUUCGGCUACGCCAUGCAGGCGUCCACGCGGGUGCUGCGGUGGAGGGGGCGGGGCUUGGUGGGCGGCUCGAGGGCCUGUUGGAGUGGCCGGUCGAGGCGCAGGAGGGCCGGCCGCUUCCUCGGGUGCUCGCUGUGCCUGUGGUCGUGGAAGGGGCGGCCGCGCAUGCUGCCGCGGUGCAACCAGCGCUUCUUGUACAACAAGUGCUAGGGGAACGGGCUGGGCAAGUCCUCGUCGUGCCCAAGAACGUGGCGGCGCGCCAGGCGCCUCUUCAUCUCCGUGUGCCACGAGGAGAGCCGGCGGAAGAACAAGAACCCAGAGCAUCCAUCGACGCCGUCCUCGAAGAGCCGAAGGCCGACGAGCUGGCGCUGCUACUGCGGCUCGAGCGGCCUGUGCCAGAGCGGCCACAGCUCGCAGUGCGGCCUACUGCCCAGCUGCCGCCGCCGCGCCCGCAACUCCGCUUGCCUCGGGCGCCCCUCCGCCAGGCGCUCGACGGGCCGCUACCGCGGCUACGGCCGGAGGCCGUCCCGUAACAGUGGUUCCCGCUCCGCGAACUUGUGCUCGAGCUUCUCCGCCCUGCUGCACAGCUCGCGGCCCAGCUUCUUAUAGGGGCGCUCCUUGCCGGCGUCCUUGGCGAGGUGCUACCUGCCGCUCUUGGGCUCGAAGAGGUCUACGCAGCGGCACCAGCAGAGGCCGCUCCUCUGCUACUGCAGCAGGCCCCACCGCCGGCGCGCCUCGGCCCACUACGGCUGCUCCUCGAACAGCCCUUCCCACGGCUGUCCCCUCUUCUGCCUCCUCUCCCUCGCCUACCCCUUCGCCUUGCCCAGCCUCUCGUACACCUUGCCGCUGGGCGGGAGCGGCCGCGGCUAUAUAUGCUCACGCGGCCCCUUCUUGCCGACCUCCGCGUCGCGGACCUUCAGCUCCUCCGCGACCGUGAGGCCCAUGCGCCACUCCUUCUAGACCUUCGGGGCCAGCUCGUCCAUGGGCAGCUGGAGCAGCCACCGCUGCGCCGGCGGCUGCGCCAGGCUCCGAAGGUCGUCGCACUUGCCGUGCCUCUCCCUCCGGUCCACCCACCGGCGGCGCUCCGGGCGUUCGGGCGGCGGCUGCUACUGCCGGACGAACAGCCGGACCAAGUGCAAGUGGCUACAGCGGCGCCGCCUCUGCCGCUUGGCCUCCCACCGUACCGCCGCCCCGCACCCUCCGCGCCCCUGCUCCUCCACCCGCCGCACCUGCGCGUACCCCCAACGCCAACGCCAACGCCGCUCACCGCCCUUCUCUGGCCCGUCUUUGCCCCUUAGCACCGCCCCAUGCCAAACCCUCCACAUC
rnacentral:rRNA from 1 species